AUUGAACGCUGGCGGCAGGCCUAACACAUGCAAGUCGAGCGGGGUUUUCGGACCUAGCGGCGGACGGGUGAGUAAUGCGUAGGAAGCUACCCGAUAGAGGGGGAUACCAGUUGGAAACGACUGUUAAUACCGCAUAAUGUCUACGGACCAAAGUGUGGGACCUUCGGGCCACAUGCUAUCGGAUGCGCCUACGUGGGAUUAGCUAGUUGGUGGGGUAAUGGCUCACCAAGGCGACGAUCCCUAGCUGGUUUGAGAGGAUGAUCAGCCACACUGGAACUGAGACACGGUCCAGACUCCUACGGGAGGCAGCAGUGGGGAAUAUUGGACAAUGGGCGGCAAGCCUGAUCCAGCCAUGCCGCGUGUGUGAAGAAGG
rnacentral:rRNA from 1 species